rnacentral:rRNA from 1 species
GACGAACGCUGGCGGCGUGCCUAAUACAUGCAAGUAGAACGCAGUUGCGAACGGGUGAGUAACGCGUAGGUAACUGCCUCAUAGCGGGGGAUAACUAUUGGAAACGAUUGCUAAUACCGCCUACUGUGAGAUGGACCUGCGUUGUAUUAGGUAGUUGGUGAGGUAAAGGCUCACCAAGGCGACGAUCCAUAGCCGACCUGAGAGGGUGAUCCGCCACACGUGGACUGAUGCACGGGCCAGACUCCCACGGGAGGCAGGAGGAGGGAAACCUCGGCAAAUGGCGGAAGGCUUACCGAGCAAAGCCGGGGGAGAUAAGAAGGGUUUCGGGGCGUAAAGCCCUGUUGUUAGAGAAGCGGUAACUAACCAGAAAGGGACGGCUAACUACGUGCCAGGAGCCGCGGUAAUUC